rnacentral:rRNA from 1 species
UACAGAGGUCUCAACCGUUGUCCGGAUUUAUUGGGCGUAAAGAGCUCGUAGGCGGUUUGGCAAGUCGGGUGUGAAAACUCCGGGCUCAACUCGGAGACGCCACUCGAUACUGCCAUGACUCGAGUCCGGUAGGGGAGUGCGGAAUUCCUGGUGUAGCGGUGAAAUGCGCAGAUAUCAGGAGGAACACCGGUGGCGAAGGCGGAUCUCUGGGCCAUUACUGACGCUGAGGAGCGAAAGCGUGGGGAGCGAACAGG